AUAAAUUAAGCACAGACAACAUGCAACUACAACUCAGACGUCCAGUCAGUGAAACACAAAGAAAAUACUCUUUCAAUUCGCUCUUGCCUUCUUGGAAAUUGCCAAUCUGUAAAACAUGAGGAAAUUUAUCCUACCUACCACGAUAUGUAUGUUGCUGUUGGUUGGUUUGGAAACAACAGAAUCACAGGGAUGUGUUACCACACCGAAAGUAGCGUUUUAACGCAUAUUCC